GGUGUUUAGAGGGAUAACACAGUGCAAAAGAGUACCAAGCUAACGUGUAUUCCUUUCCAGACUCUAUCUACCCUUUGUUGGGAUUUAUAUUUUUUAAGACCAUAUGAAGUUUGGUGGUAAGUUUUUUUUCCACCAGAUUAUAAACUCUUCGAGGUCAAGAAUUAUGCCUUUUUUCAUCUUGAUAACCACUUCUCUAUUUUCCUGGUCCCAAUGUCUAAUACAAUGAAGGCUUAGCCCAGGGAAGGUGUUACAAACAAUGUAUUGAGUGAACUGAUGACUGAAAAAUGACCAAGGAACCAGAAUAAGGGAAGGAUAACACAUACUCUCCAGUAUCCAGCCAUAAAUCUGAAAUUGCUUAGUCUAAGAAUGCUUGGAGCCUGGUUGAUCAGAAGUACCCAAAAGAUGCCAGGGCUGGUCUCUGGAAUUUUUCUUCUGUCUUAGCAUGUUUAAAUUUGCAGACAAUCUGUGGAAGGAAUUCAAAAGACUCAAAAGUUCAGGGAUCCUAAGAAUCUGCUAUCUUGAGCCCUCCUGUCUUCAAAUACUUGAUCCUGCAACACUGAGCCCAGAGUAUACACUCAAUGAAUCUCUUUGGAGAAAAGAGGAUGGACAGAACUCAAAUGGUGCCCAAGGAGAGGCAGUCAUGGAUCAUGGAGAUGACCAAAAGAGGUCACUUUUAUUUUCAAAUCUUACACAGAUGCAGCUAAGGGAGGGAACCUAAGUUUUACUCAGAAUCUUAGGUACAAGAAACUCUAGAAAAUAUGUUGGAUUGAAG
rnacentral:lncRNA from 1 species